CUCCUCACCUCCCAAAUUAGUCGUGCCUAAAAUAAUAAACCACAAAUCAUUUAGAUUGACGUGUUUGGUACACCUGAUACAAUUAAUAAUACGGAGUACGGUAUUUGGUGUUCGUUCGUAUUAGGUAGCCACCGGAUUAAAUAAUCCGGGCCCACUUAUUUUAUACGGUAAGCACUCGUUUCCUUAUCCCCUCUAAAACCACGGUACAAUUUAGUCGGCUUCUUGAGAACGCACCCUCGCUUUCUCCUUUCUCCUGAAAACACACUCUCGCUCUCUCUUCCUCUCCAGACGGUACAAGAAAAUCUCUUGCUCUCUUUCCUCUCCUAGCUGCACCGGUCCUCUCUAGACACACCGCUCCCAUGUUUGUCUUCUCAUUCUUCUUCUUCCCAGGUAGCGGAAGAACUGACAACAGCAUGUUUCCAGAAGUUGACAGCACUUGGAAAGCAUACUUUUAACGAGGUACAGAACUUGCUCAGUAAAACCAAUGGUCGGGUGGUGGGUGAUGUGAUGACACCAGCCACAGUUGUCGUUCGUGAAACCACUAAUCUUGGGGAUGUUGCUAGAUUAUUGCUCGAGACAAAAUAUCGCAGACUUCCAGUUGUAAAUGAAAGCGGCAAGCUGAUAGGAAUUAGUACAAGAGGAAACAUCAUACGAGCUGCCCUUCAAAUGAAACAUGCUAGUGAAUCGAAAACAUAACACCAACACAAGCAGGGAUCAAAGUCAUUUCCAGAUGUUUAUGUGCUGCAAUCAUAACGAAAUUGAAGGAAUUGGUCUGCUUUAUGGGUAGCAAUUUUGACAAAAUUUCUGUAUAAUUUGGCAAUGGGAUUGCAUUAAUAAUGAAUAACGCGGGAAUAGAAAGAAAAUAAUGUGGGACCCUACAAGUCCACAUUGUGUAA